UGGGGAAUUUUGGACAAUGGGCGCAAGCCUGAUCCAGCAAUGCCGCGUGAGUGAAGAAGGCCUUCGGGUUGUAAAGCUCUUUCAGUCGAGAAGAAAAAGCUGUGGUGAAUAACUGCGGUUUAUGACGGUAUCGACAGAAGAAGCACCGGCUAACUACGUGCCAGCAGCCGCGGUAAUACGUAGGGUGCGAGCGUUAAUCGGAAUUACUGGGCGUAAAGGGUGCGCAGGCGGUUUUGUAAGUCAGAUGUGAAAUCCCCGGGCUUAACCUGGGAAUUGCGUUUGAAACUACAAGACUAGAGUGUGGCAGAGGGAGGUGGAAUUCCAUGUGUAGCAGUGAAAUGCGUAGAGAUAUGGAAGAACAUCGAUGGCGAAGGCAGCCUCCUGGGUUAACACUGACGCU
rnacentral:rRNA from 1 species